rnacentral:rRNA from 1 species
UACGAAAGGGGCUAGCGUUGUUCGGAAUUACUGGGCGUAAAGCGCACGUAGGCGGACAUUUAAGUCAGGGGUGAAAUCCCAGAGCUCAACUCUGGAACUGCCUUUGAUACUGGGUGUCUAGAGUAUGGAAGAGGUGAGUGGAAUUCCGAGUGUAGAGGUGAAAUUCGUAGAUAUUCGGAGGAACACCAGUGGCGAAGGCGGCUCACUGGUCCAUUACUGACGCUGAGGUGCGAAAGCGUGGGGAGCAAACAGG